CCUACGGGUGGCAGCAGUGAGGAAUAUUGGUCAAUGGGCGGGAGCCUGAACCAGCCAAGUCGCGUGAGGGAAGACGGUCCUAUGGAUUGUAAACCUCUUUAGGCGGGGAGCAAUGCCGGGCACGCGUGCCCGGAGGGAGAGUACCCGCAGAAUAAGCAUUGGCUAACUCCGUGCCAGCAGCCGCGGUAAUACGGAGGAUGCGAGCGUUAUCCGGAUUUAUUGGGUUUAAAGGGUGUGUAGGCGGAUUUUUAAGUCAGCGGUAAAAUGUCCGGGCUCAACCCGGGCCGGCCGUUGAAACUGGGGAUCUUGAGUGGGCGAGAAGUAUGCGGAAUGCGUGGUGUAGCGGUGAAAUGCAUAGAUAUUAGGAGGAACACCAGUGGCGAAGGCGGCCUGCUGGGCUUUUACUGACGCUGAGGCUCGAAAGUGUGGGGAGCAAACAGGAUUAGAUACCCCUGUAGUC
rnacentral:rRNA from 1 species